UUUAUUCAGGAUCACGACUAACCAAAAAUGAGUCUGCUCCUAAACGUUCAAUUGCUUCGUCUUUUUUACUAAGAGAUGUACUAAUGACAGUAACUUUGGUUCCAAACGCCUUAUCAAAUUUCACAGCCAUAUGUCCCAAACCACCAAGACCAACAACACCAAUGUGCAUUCCAGGUUUAUCUAGUCCAUAAUAUCUCAAAGGACUAUAAGUUGUGAUCCCUGCACAUAACAGGGGAGCUGCUUCCAUUGGUAAAUUUUCGGGCCAAUGAACCACGUAGUGUUCAUUCGUUACCAUUAUAUCCGAGUAACCACCAUACGUGGGGAUUCCAUCGGUGUAAACACCAUUGUAUGUCAUGAUCUGAUCGCGACAAUAAUUUUCAAGAUCGUUGUCACAGUUUUCACAUUUUCUACAUGAUCCUACUAAACAUCCAACUCCAACUUUGUCUCCAGUUU